rnacentral:rRNA from 1 species
UACGAAGGGGGCUAGCGUUGCUCGGAAUCACUGGGCGUAAAGCGCACGUAGGCGGCUUACUAAGUCAGGGGUGAAAUCCUGGAGCUCAACUCCAGAACUGCCUUUGAUACUGGUCGUGCUUGAGUCCGGAAGAGGUGAGUGGAACUGCGAGUGUAGAGGUGAAAUUCGUAGAUAUUCGCAAGAACACCAGUGGCGAAGGCGGACUCACUGGUCCGGUACUGACGCUGAGGUGCGAAAGCGUGGGGAGCAAAGCAGG